AUGGCACCCAAGGCCGCCGAGAAGAAGCCGGUGGAGAAGACCCCCGCGGGCAAGAAGCCCAAGGCGGAGAAGAAGGUGCCGGCGUCCAAGGAGGGCGGCGACAAGAAGGGGAAGAAGAAGGCCAAGAAGAGCGUGGAGACGUACAAGAUCUACAUCUUCAAGGUGCUCAAGCAGGUGCACCCCGACAUCGGCAUCUCCUCCAAGGCCAUGUCCAUCAUGAACUCCUUCAUCAACGACAUCUUCGAGAAGCUCGCCGGCGAGUCCGCCAAGCUCGCGAGGUACAACAAGAAGCCCACCAUCACGUCCCGCGAGAUCCAGACCUCCGUCCGCCUCGUCCUCCCCGGCGAGCUCGCCAAGCAUGCCGUCUCCGAGGGCACCAAGGCCGUCACCAAGUUCACCUCGUCCUAG
rnacentral:rRNA from 1 species